rnacentral:rRNA from 1 species
CCUACGGGGCGCAGCAGUGGGGAAUAUUGGGCAAUGGGCGCAAGCCUGACCCAGCAACGCCGCGUGAAGGAAGAAGGCUUUCGGGUUGUAAACUUCUUUUGUCAGGGAAGAGUAGAAGACGGUACCUGACGAAUAAGCCACGGCUAACUACGUGCCAGCAGCCGCGGUAAUACGUAGGUGGCAAGCGUUGUCCGGAUUUACUGGGUGUAAAGGGCGUGUAGCCGGGUUGACAAGUCAGUUGUGAAAUCCUGCGGCUUAACCGCAGAACUGCAUUUGAAACUGUUGAUCUUGAGUACUGGAGAGGCAGAUGGAAGUCCUAGUGUAGCGGUGAAAUGCGUAGAUAUUAGGAGGAACACCAGUGGCGAAGGCGGUCUGCUGGACAGCAACUGACGGUGAGGCGCGAAAGCGUGGGGAGCAAACAGGAUUAGAUACCCCAGUAGUC